rnacentral:rRNA from 1 species
AGUGAACGCUGGCGGUAGGCCUAACACAUGCAAGUCGAACGGCAGCACAGUAAGAGCUUGCUCUUACGGGUGGCGAGUGGCGGACGGGUGAGGAAUACAUCGGAAUCUACUUUUUCGUGGGGGAUAACGUAGGGAAACUUACGCUAAUACCGCAUACGACCUACGGGUGAAAGCAGGGGAUCUUCUGACCUUGCGCGAUUGAAUGAGCCGAUGUCGGAUUAGCUAGUUGGCGGGGUAAAGGCCCACCAAGGCGACGAUCCGUAGCUGGUCUGAGAGGAUGAUCAGCCACACGGGAACUGAGACACGGACCAGACUCCUACGGGAGGGAGCAGUGGGGAAUGUUAGACAGUGGGCGCAAGCCUGAUCCAGCCAUACCGCGUGGGUGAAGAAGGCCUUCGGGUUGUAAAGCCCUUUUGUUGGGAAAGAAAAGCAGCAGGUUAAUACCCCGCUGUUCUGACGGUACCCAAAGAAUAAGCACCGGCUAACUUCGUG